UGGUUCAGCAAAGGCCUUGGAGUCAGGAAGGAUAGCAUCGGCUCUUCUGUGAGGAAGCUUGGGCUCUGCUGUAAAUCCUAAACGAAUAGCAAUUUUUGCCCUUUGAGGAGCACAGAAUGCUUUUCAUCUCCUGUUGGAUUCCAGGAUCACAGAGAUCAGCUUGACUCAGGAUGUGUUCAUUCAGAGGCAGCGGCUCUGGCAGGCAAAGAGGAUUGUCGGAGCCUAUUUUCCUUUUAGCAGCAGGAAGUUAUGAGCUGAGGAGGGAAUAAACACCCUGAAUGUGGACAUGAGCAUCCCAAGAAAUAGAGUCCUCCAUGGCAUGAAAAGGAAGAAGGGCUAAAAUGAGAAGAGGACCAAUACUCACUUCCCAGAUACAAUGACAGUGUGACAAGCUGACCCGAGCCCCUGCUGCCAUGAUGGAUUAUCACCCUAUCACUGAGACCCCAAAAUGAUCCCUUUCUUCAUUUAGCUGCAUUUCAUCAAGACAGCAAGUCAAACAGUUAAUGCAGUGUCUACGCUUCUGUGCAAAAGAAUUGAAGUAUUUGGAGUAAAGCUUCCAAAAAGGUUUUACAAUGACUAGUUUGUUUUACUGCUUCAAUAAGUACAAAGCAGAGGAUAUUAAGAUCAUUAAAAUAGUCAAUGAAUAAUUUA